rnacentral:rRNA from 1 species
GAUGAACGCUGGCGGCGUGCCUAACACAUGCAAGUCGAGCGAAGCGGGGACGGGUGAGUAACACGUGGAUAACCUCCUAUAAGACUGGGAUACCUACGGGAAACCGGAGCUAAACCGGAAACUUAUAGAUGGAUCCUCGCUGCAUGAGCUAGUUGGUAAGGUAACGGCUUACCAAGGCUACGAUGCAUAGCCGGCCUGAGAGGGUGAUCGGCCACACUGGAACUGAGACCCGGUCCAGACUCCUACGGGAGGCAGCAGUGGGGAAUCUUCCGCAAUGGGCGAAAGCCUGACGGAGCAACGCCGCGUGAGUGAUGAAGGUCUUCGGAUCGUAAAGCUCUGUGAGUAGGGAAGCGGUACCUAAUCAGAAAGCCACGGCUAACUCCGUGCCAGCAGCCGCGGUAAUAC